GCGUUGUUCGGAAUUACUGGGCGUAAAGCGUACGUAGGCGGCUUUGUAAGUUAGAGGUGAAAGCCCGGGGCUCAACUCCGGAAUUGCCUUUAAGACUGCAUCGCUUGAAUCAUGGAGAGGUUAGUGGAAUUCCGAGUGUAGAGGUGAAAUUCGUAGAUAUUCGGAAGAACACCAGUGGCGAAGGCGACUAACUGGACAUGUAUUGACGCUGAGGUACGAAAGCGUG
rnacentral:rRNA from 1 species